rnacentral:lncRNA from 1 species
AAUAUAUAAAAUUGCUGGGGAAAUCCUGAAUCCUCUUCUGCAUCACAUCUUUUGCACGAGGGCUGCAAAAGGCAUCUGCUGACUGAAGCCAUCAGUCUGGUGGGCUGAAACACUUUUGGUUGCAAAGAAGAGAUUAAACUUGGACUCCAUUAAGUGACUGUAGUUGGAAGGUAUGAC